GUAACAACUCACCUGCCGAAUGAACUAGCCCUGAAAAUGGAUGGCGCUGAAGCGGGUAGCCGACACCACGCCGUCUGGGCGAGUUAUUGCUCCGGAUGAGUAGGAGGACGUGGCGGUCGUAUCGAAGCGUGCGCGCAAGCGUGCGUGGAACGGCCGCUAGUGCAGAUCUUGGUGUUAGUAGCAAAUAUUCAAACGAAAACCUUGAAGGGCGAAGCGGGGAAGGGUUCCACGCGUACAUUGAUUGGGUGUGGGUGAGUCGUUCCUAAGCCGAGUGGCAAUAGCUAAUUACCGGCGAAAGGGAAGCAGGUUGACAUUCCUGCACACGGAUGUGGAGGCGGUGACGCACUUCUGGAGUAGUGAAGCUGGCUUUGGCACUGGGCAGAGUUGUCUUUUCUGUUUAACCGCUCAAACUGGCACUGUGUGGAAUCCGCUUGUCGGGAGAAACACGUGCCGACGGGCAAAGCGCCGGGAUUUUUCCGGCGUCCAGUUCGCCAUCGACGGACCUUGAAAAGCUACUUGCUGGCACAGUCCUUCAGAGUUCUUCUGGAGAUCCGCUGUGUGUGAAAAAAUCCACGCCGUGACGUACCGAUAACCGCAUCAGGUCCCCAAGGUGAACAGCCUCUGCUCGAUAUGGUAAAUGCAGGUAAGGGAAGUCGGCAAAAUAGACCCGUAACUUUGGGAAAAGGGUUGGCUCUAGUGCUGUGUGGGACUGGUUGCUGAGGUGUCCUGUGUUGUUCCAGUGUGUCACUGCGGCGGAGCGAGCAAGACCCCCUCGGGGGUGGCGCGAGCGCUGAAGCGGGGGCUGGCUGUUGAGCGACGCGGCCCGCGGCGACGCCCACGGCAUGCAGCAAACUAGAACUGCAACGGGCAAAGGGAAUCCGACUGUUUAAUUAAAACAAAGCAUUGCGAAGGCCGUGGCCGGUGUUGACGCANNNNNNNNNNNNNNNNNNNNNNNNNNUGUCAAAGUGAAGAGAUUCAAAUAAGCGCGGGUAAACAGCGGGAGUAACUAUGACUCUCUUAAGGUAGCCAAAUGCCUCGUCAUCUAAUUAGUGACGCGCAUGAAUGGAUUAACGAGAUUCCUACUGUCCCUACCUGCUUCUAGCGAAACCACAGCCGGGGGAACGGGCCCGGCAAAAAUGGCGGGGAAAGAAGACCCUGUUGAGCUUGACUCUAUUCUAAAACUGUGAAACGAGUUGGGAGGUGUAGCAUAGGUGGGAGAGGGGGCUUGCCUCCUCGGCCGUGAAAUACCACUACUCCCAAUCUCGUUUUACUUACCAGGUUGCUGUGGGCCGAGUCGAAAGACUCUUUGUUUCUGGACCCAACGUGUCGCGAGUUUCGGCUCGUGGCGCAGACCACCGCCUGGAACACUUUUAGGAGGGGAGUUUGGCUGGGGCGGCACAUCUUCUACAAGACAACGAAGGUGUCCAAAGAUAAGCUCAGUGAGAACAGAAAUCUCACGUAGCGCAAAAGGGUAAAAGCUUGUUUGAUUUUGAUUCCCAGUGCGAGUCGAAAACGCGAAAGCGUGGCCUAUCGAUCCUUUUGAAUUUCGAGAUUUGAAGCAAGUGNAUNCAGCAAAGUUACCNCAGGGAUAACAUGGCUUAUGCCGCCAAGACGUUCAUACGACGUCGCUU
rnacentral:rRNA from 1 species